rnacentral:rRNA from 1 species
UACAGAGGUCUCGAGCGUUAAUCGGAAUUACUGGGCGUAAAGCGUGCGCAGGCGGUCUGUUAAGACCGAUGUGAAAUCCCCGGGCUUAACCUGGGAACUGCAUUGGUGACUGGCAGGCUUUGAGUGUGGCAGAGGGAGGUAGAAUUCCACGUGUAGCAGUGAAAUGCGUAGAGAUGUGGAGGAAUACCGAUGGCGAAGGCAGCCUCCUGGGCCAACACUGACGCUCAUGCACGAAAGCGUGGGGAGCAAACAGG